GUCAUAUGCUUGUCUCAAGGAUUAAGCCAUGCAUGUCUCAGUACAAGCCAAAUUAAGGUGAAACCGCGAAAGGCUCAUUAAAUCAGUUAUGGUUCCUUAGAUCGUACCCACAUUUACUUGGAUAACUGUGGUAAUUCUAGAGCUAAUACAUGCAAACAGAGCUCCAACCAGAGAUGGAAGGAGUGCUUUUAUUAGAUCAAAACCAAUCGGCGGCGGGCACUUGUGUCCGUUCGUCGCCCUACUUGGUGACUCUGAAUAACUUUAUGCUGAUCGCACGGUCUUGCACCGGCGACGCAUCUUUCAAAUGUCUGCCUUAUCAACUGUCGAUGGUAGGUUCUGCGCCUACCAUGGUUGUAACGGGUAACGGGGAAUCAGGGUUCGAUUCCGGAGAGGGAGCCUGAGAAACGGCUACCACAUCCAAGGAAGGCAGCAGGCGCGCAAAUUACCCACUCCCGGCACGGGGAGGUAGUGACGAAAAAUAACGAUACGGGACUCAUCCGAGGCCCCGUAAUCGGAAUGAGUACACUUUAAAUCCUUUAACGAGGAUCAAUUGGAGGGCAAGUCUGGUGCCAGCAGCCGCGGUAAUUCCAGCUCCAAUAGCGUAUAUUAAAGUUGUUGCGGUUAAAAAGCUCGUAGUUGAAUCUGUGUCCCGCGCUGUCGGUUCACCGCCCGCGGUGUUUAACUGGCACGUCUCGCGGGACGUCCUGCCGGUGGACGGUUAAUUAUAGUGUUGUCUUGGUGUCUGUUUCGGCAGAAUUACCGGGCAUUAUGAUCCGUCCGACUUUUUUAAAUCCUGUCGCGGUGCUCUUAACUGAGUGUCGAGGCGGGCCGGCACGUUUACUUUGAACAAAUUAGAGUGCUCAAAGCAGGCUAAAACUUCGCCUGAAUAUUGUGUGCAUGGAAUAAUGGAACAGGACCUCGGUUCUAUUUUGUUGGUUUUCGGAACCCCGAGGUAAUGAUUAAUAGGGACAGAUGGGGGCAUUCGUAUUGCGACGUUAGAGGUGAAAUUCUUGGAUCGUCGCAAGACGGACAGAAGCGAAAGCAUUUGCCAAAAAUGUUUUCAUUAAUCAAGAACGAAAGUCAGAGGUUCGAAGGCGAUCAGAUACCGCCCUAGUUCUGACCAUAAACGAUGCCAGCUAGCGAUCCGCCGACGUUCCUCCGAUGACUCGGCGGGCAGCUUCCGGGAAACCAAAGCUUUUGGGUUCCGGGGGAAGUAUGGUUGCAAAGCUGAAACUUAAAGGAAUUGACGGAAGGGCACCACCAGGAGUGGAGCCUGCGGCUUAAUUUGACUCAACACGGGAAACCUCACCAGGCCCGGACACCGGAAGGAUUGACAGAUUGAGAGCUCUUUCUUGAUUCGGUGGGUGGUGGUGCAUGGCCGUUCUUAGUUGGUGGAGCGAUUUGUCUGGUUAAUUCCGAUAACGAACGAGACUCUAGCCUGCUAACUAGGCGUACUUUACCGGUAUCUCGAAGGCUCACAUCUUUCGUAUCCGUUGGUGUUAUCAUGUAGCACGUCUAAUGUUGCAUGUGGCAUUUUACGGUCGGAAGUUUGUGGUUUUUACUACCGGCGUACAUUUUAAUCUUCUUAGAGGGACAGGCGGCUCCUAGCCGCACGAGAUUGAGCAAUAACAGGUCUGUGAUGCCCUUAGAUGUUCUGGGCCGCACGCGCGCUACACUGAAGGAAUCAGCGUGUCUUCCCUGGCCGAGCGGUCCGGGUAACCCGCUGAACCUCCUUCGUGCUAGGGAUUGGGGCUUGCAAUUGUUCCCCAUGAACGAGGAAUUCCCAGUAAGCGCGAGUCAUAAGCUCGCGUUGAUUACGUCCCUGCCCUUUGUACACACCGCCCGUCGCUACUACCGAUUGAAUGAUUUAGUGAGGUCUUCGGACUGGUACGCGGCGGCGUUUCGACAUCGCCGAUGUCGCUGGGAAGAUGACCAAACUUGUCCUGUAUCGGAAGGCG
rnacentral:rRNA from 1 species